rnacentral:rRNA from 1 species
GAAAGACGGGUGAGAAUCCCGUCCACCGAUUGACUAAGGUGUCCAGAGGAAGGCUCGUCCGCUCUGGGUUAGGCGGGUCAUAAGCUGAGGCCGACAGGCGUAGGCGAUGGAGAACAGGUUGAUAUUCCUGUACCGCCAACAAUCGUGUUAAGAGAUGGGGGGACGAGGUAAGAUAGGCGAAGCCUACUGAGGGAGUGCACGUCCAAGCAGUGAGAGUGAGUGUUAGGCGAAUCCGGCACUCGAAAGGUAAAGCUGUGAUGGGGAGAGGAAAUUGUUUCCUCGAGGCGUUGAUUUCACACUGCAGAGAAAUGCUUCUAGCUAGAAAGUUGGUGUCCGUUCCGCAAACCGACACAGGUUGUCUUGCUGAUAAUUCAAAGGUGAGCGAGCGUACUCUGGUUUAGGAACUCGGCCAAAUGACCUCGUAACGUCGGGAUUAGCGAAGCGUUUUUGUGUUGGCGAGCUGAAGUCCCGCAGAGAGUAUGC